GGGCCCGCACAAGCGGUGGAGCAUGUGGUUUAAUUCGAUGAUACGCGAGGAACCUUACCAGGGCUUAAAUGGGAAAUGACAGGGGCAGAGACGCCCCCUUCUUCGGACAUUUUUCAAGGUGCUGCAUGGUUGUCGUCAGCUCGUGCCGUGAGGUGUCAGGUUAAGUCCUAUAACGAGCGCAACCCCUACCGUUAGUUGCCAGCGUGUAAUGACGGGGACUCUAACGGAACUGCCGGUGCAAACCGUGAGGAAGGUGGGGACGACGUCAAAUCAUCACGGCCCUUACGUCCUGGGCCACACACGUGCUACAAUGGUAGGUACAGAGGGAAGCCACCCCGCGAGGGGGAGCGGAUCUAUAAAACCUAUCUCAGUUCGGAUUGUCGUCUGCAACUCGACGGCAUGAAGUCGGAAUCGCUAGUAAUCGCGUAAC
rnacentral:rRNA from 1 species